AUCAACUUUCGAUGGUAGGAUAGAGGCCUACUAUGGUGGUAACGGGUAACGGGGUGUUAGGGCACGACACCGGAGAGGGAGCCUGAGAAACGGCUACCACAUCCAAGGAUGGCAGCAGGCGCGCAAAUUACCCAAUCCCGACACGGGGAGGUAGUGACAAUAAAUAACAAUACGGGGUUCUUUCGGAUCUCGUAAUUGGAAUGAGUACAAUUUAAAUCUCUUAACGAGGAACAAUUGGAGGGCAAGUCUGGUGCCAGCAGCCGCGGUAAUUCCAGCUCCAAUAGCGUAUAUUAAAGUUGUUGCAGUUAAAAAGCUCGUAGUUGAACUUCGGGGUUUACCCAUUGGUCAGGCUUAAUUGUCUGUACUGGUGAGAUGAAUCUCUACCUUCUGAGGAACUUUCAUGCCAUUUAUUUGGUGUGAUAGGAAAUCAGGACUGUUACUUUGAAAAAAUUAGAGUGUUUAAAGCAGGCUAACGUCUGAAUACAUUAGCAUGGAAUAAUGAAAUAGGACGGACUGAUUCUAUUUCGUUGGUUUCUAGGAUCACCGUAAUGAUUAAUAGGGAUAGUUGGGGGCAUUAGUAUUCAAUUGUCAGAGGUGAAAUUCUUGGAUUUAUUGAAGACUAACUACUGCGAAAGCAUUUGCCAAGGAUGUUUUCAUUAAUCAAGAAUGAAAGUUAGGGGAUCGAAGACGAUCAGAUACCGUCGUAGUCUUAACCAUAAACUAUGCCGACUAGGGAUCGGACGAAGUUAAUUUUAUAAUGACGCGUUCGGCACCUUACGGGAAACCAAAGUGUUUGGGUUC
rnacentral:rRNA from 1 species